GCCAGGCUGGCUCAGUCAGUAGAGAAUGCGACUCUUAAUCUCAGGACUGUGAGUUCGAGCCCCACGCUGGGUG
rnacentral:tRNA from 1 species